rnacentral:rRNA from 1 species
UACAUACUGUGCGAACGUUAUUCGGAUUCACUGGGCUUAAAGGGUGCGUAGGCGGCUUGUUAAGUAGGGUGUGAAAGCCCCCAGCUCAACUGGGGAACUGCACUCUAUACUGGCGAGCUAGAGUGCGGUAGGGGAGAUUGGAAUUCCUGGUGUAGCGGUGGAAUGCGCAGAUAUCAGGAGGAACACCAAUGGCGAAGGCAGAUCUCUGGGCCGUAACUGACGCUGAGGAGCGAAAGCAUGGGGAGCGAACAGG